AUUGAACGCUGGCGGCAGGCCUAACACAUGCAAGUCGAGCGGAUGAAGGGAGCUUGCUCCUGGAUUCAGCGGCGGACGGGUGAGUAAUGCCUAGGAAUCUGCCUGGUAGUGGGGGAUAACGUCCGGAAACGGGCGCUAAUACCGCAUACGUCCUGAGGGAGAAAGUGGGGGUUCUUCGGACCUCACGCUAUCAGAUGAGCCUAGGUCGGAUUAGCUAGUUGGUGGGGUAAAGGCCUACCAAGGCGACGAUCCGUAACUGGUCUGAGAGGAUGAUCAGUCACACUGUAACUGAGACACGGUCCAGACUCCUACGGGAGGCAGCAGUGGGGAAUAUUGGACAAUGGGCGAAAGCCUGAUCCAGCCAUGCCGCGUGUGUGAAGAAGGUCUUCGGAUUUUAAAGCACUUUAAGUUGGGAGGAAGGGCAGUAAGUUAAUACCUUGCUGUUUUGACGUUACCAACAGAAUAAGCACCGGCUAACUUCGUG
rnacentral:rRNA from 1 species